rnacentral:lncRNA from 1 species
CACAGUUUAGACUAGAAAUUAUGUCCCUGCUUGUAAAUAUCACGGCCUACUCUAAUACUAUUUGUAUAUGCGUCUAAAUGUAUGCGAAGACAAAUAAAUAUAGCUGACGACCACCUAUGGUGGCCUAACAGUCUUAUUGUGAUCGCGUUAAUAAAAAAAAAGCAUUUAAAAUAUUUAAUGCAAGUGCCACUACCGAAACUGAGGCCAGAAACGCGUCUAUUAUCGAUGCUGCAGAAAACAAAACUGAUCCGUGAUGCGCAGCAACUUCUUGCUGGCAGCUCUCUUCUUUUCUUUUCUCUCUUCCCACAGACCCACAACUACAACGAGAGAGACAUCCAUAGAGGAAGCCAUAAGUGAAACGGCAACAGCGCUUGAGAUAAUCUCUUGAGAUAAACUCGAGCGCUCACCUACUCACGCCCACACACAUUCACACAGACGUACAGAUCACCCCACAAACAUUUUCGCUGUCUCGGACCAGAAGGCAGCGAGAAUGAUUGUAAACAAGAUCACC